rnacentral:rRNA from 1 species
CGCCCUGGGUUAGUCGGGACCUAAGCUGAGGCCGAAAGGCGAAGGUGAUGGACAACAGGUUGAUAUUCCUGUACUACCGAUAACCGUUUGAGAGAUGGGCUGACACAGUAGCAUAAGCUAAGCACACUGUUGGUUAUGUGUGCCCAAGCAUUGAGGCAGUCAACGUAGGCAAAUCCGCUUUGAUAAUGCUGGGAUGGUAUGGGGCGCGACAUUUAGUAGCGAAGUAGCUGAUUUCACACUGUCAAGAAAAGUCUC